rnacentral:tRNA from 2 species
CCAAACAUGUAGACUAACCUCUCCCUUUGUUA